GACGAACGCUGGCGGCGUGCUUAACACAUGCAAGUCGAACGUGAUUUUUGUGGAAAUUCUUUCGGGAAUGGAAAUGAAAUGAAAGUGGCGAACGGGUGAGUAACACGUGAGCAACCUACCUUACACAGGGGGAUAGCCGUUGGAAACGACGAUUAAUACCGCAUGAGACCACAGAAUCGCAUGAUAUAGGGGUCAAAGAUUUAUCGGUGUAAGAAGGGCUCGCGUCUGAUUAGCUAGUUGGAAGGGUAAAGGCCUACCAAGGCGACGAUCAGUAGCCGGUCUGAGAGGAUGAACGGCCACAUUGGAACUGAGACACGGUCCAAACUCCUACGGGAGGCAGCAGUGGGGAAUAUUGCACAAUGGGGGGAACCCUGAUGCAGCGACGCCGCGUGAGCGAAGAAGGUUUUCGAAUCGUAAAAGCUCUGUCCUAUGAGAAAGAUAAAGG
rnacentral:rRNA from 1 species